GUCUAUGGCCAUGCCACCCUGAAUGUGCCCAAUCUCGUCUGAUCUUGGAGGCUAAGCAGGGUUGGGCCUGGUUAGUACUUGGAUGGGAGACCACCUAGGAAGACCAGGUGCCGUGGGUG
rnacentral:rRNA from 1 species